UACGAAGGGGGCUGAGCGUUGUUCGGUAUUUACUGGGCGAAAGGGCGCGUAGGCGGCCAGCACAAGUCAGUUGUGAAAUCUCCGAGCUUAACUCGGAAAGGUCAACUGAUACUGUGCGGCUAGAGUGCGGAAGGGGCAACUGGAAUUCUUGGUGUAGCGGUGAAAUGCGUAGAUAUCAAGAGGAACACCUGCGGCGAAGGCGGGUUGCUGGGCCGACACUGACGCUGAGGCGCGAAAGCUAGGGGAGCGAACGGG
rnacentral:rRNA from 1 species